rnacentral:rRNA from 1 species
GGGAAACUUCUGAUAAUACUGGAUAAGUUAGUAUAUCGCAUGAAUAUGCAAAUGAAAGCUACGGCACUAAAGGAGAGCUUUGCGUCCUAUUAGCUAGUUGGUAAGGUAAGAGCUUACCAAGGCGAUGAUAGGUAGCCGGCCUGAGAGGGUGGACGGCCACAAGGGGACUGAGAUACGGCCCUUACUCCUGCGGGAGGCAGCAGGU